rnacentral:lncRNA from 1 species
UGGAACAUACUAAUUGUACCCUAACUGACGUAUACAUUUGUCAAGCAAGUAUGGAACAACUGUGUCACCCCACUUUAAACACCCCUUAUACAGACGUAACUCAUCAAACUGGCGUCAUCCUCUAUGAUCCUCAAAUGGACGUCAUAUGACGUCGGCAAGUGUCAGCUCGUCCAAAAUAGGUCGCAAGUCAUCCACCUUCAGGACUCCUUGCAUAUAGGACCA